GCGUGGGUAGCAAACAGGAUUAGAUACCCUGGUAGUCCACGCCGUAAACGAUGAGCACUAGGUGUCGGGGUCGCAAGACUUCGGUGCCGCAGUUAACGCAUUAAGUGCUCCGCCUGGGGAGUACGCACGCAAGUGUAAAACUCAAAGGAAUUGACGGGGACCCGCACAAGCAGCGGAGCAUGUGGUUUAAUUCGAAGCAACGCGAAGAACCUUACCAGGGCUUGACAUUUAGGUGAAGCGGCGGAAACGUCGUGGCCGAAAGGAGCCUAAACAGGUGGUGCAUGGCUGUCGUCAGCUCGUGUCGUGAGAUGUUAGGUUAAGUCCUGCAACGAGCGCAACCCUCGUCGUAUGUUGCCAGCGGUUAGGCCGGGCACCCAUACGAGACCGCCGGCGUCAAGCCGGAGGAAGGUGGGGACGACGUCAAGUCAUCAUGCCCCUUAUGUCCUGGGCUACACACGUGCUACAAUGGCCGGCACAAUGGGCUGCCAACCCGCGAGGGUGAGCGAAUCCCUAAAGCCGGUCCCAGUUCGGAUUGGAGGCUGCAACCCGCCUCCAUGAAGUCGGAGUUGCUAGUAAUCGCGGAUCAGCACGCCGCGGUGAAUGCGUUCCCGGGCCUUGUACACACCGCCCGUCACACCACCCGAGUCGAUUGCACCCGAAGUCGUCGGCCUAACCUUUUAGGAGGGAGACGCCGAAGGUGUGGUUGGUAAGGGGGGUGAAGUCGUAACAAGGUAGCCGUACCGGAAGGUGCGGCUG
rnacentral:rRNA from 1 species